AAUACUGCAGUGGUAAUGUAUGGAUCCGAAGCCUCUCGAACAAAGGUUCUUCUUAAUCAACUUCUACUCAAUAGGUCCUCGUCAUAUCUCCAUCAUAUCUCCACGUCCUUGCAUCUCCAAAUAUCUGAGCUUGAAUGAACGGGGAAACCCAACCCCAUGGUAAUAUAGCGAGAGAAGGGAGGA
rnacentral:ribozyme from 1 species